rnacentral:rRNA from 1 species
AACGAACGCUGGCGGCAUGCCUAACACAUGCAAGUCGAACGAAGGCUUCGGCCUUAGUGGCGCACGGGUGCGUAACGCGUGGGAAUCUGCCCUUUGGUUCGGAAUAACAGCUGGAAACGGCUGCUAAUACCGGAUGAUGACGAAAGUCCAAAGAUUUAUCGCCAGAGGAUGAGCCCGCGUUGGAUUAGGUAGUUGGUGGGGUAAAGGCCUACCAAGCCGACGAUCCAUAGCUGGUCUGAGAGGAUGAUCAGCCACACUGGGACUGAGACACGGCCCAGACUCCUACGGGAGGCAGCAGUGGGGAAUAUUGGACAAUGGGCGCAAGCCUGAUCCAGCAAUGCCGCGUGAGUGAUGAAGGCCCUAGAGUUGUAAAGCUCUUUUACCCGGGAAGAUAAUGACUGUACCGGGAGAAUAAGCCCCGGCUAACUCCGUG